rnacentral:rRNA from 1 species
UCUUCGUGAACAUGGCGUACUGCUCAGUAACACGUGGAUAACCUGCCCUUAGGUCCGGCAUAACUCCGGGAAACUGGUGAUAAUUCUGGAUAGAUCAUACAUGCUGGAAUGCAUUUUGGUCGAAAGCUGUUGUGCCUAAGGAUGGGUCUGCGGUCUAUCAGGUUGUAGUGGGUGUAAAGUACCUACUAGCCGACGACGGAUACGGGUUGUGGGAGCAAGAGCCCGGAGAUGGAUUCUGAGACAUGAAUCCAGGCCCUACGGGGCGCAGCAGGCGCGAAAACUUUACAAUGCGGGAAACCGCGAUAAGGGGAUACCGAGUUGCCAGCAUCAUAUGUUGGCUGUCCAUAUGUUUAAAUUACAUGUGUUAGCAAGGGCCGGGCAAGACCGGUGCCAGCCGCCGCGGUAACACCGGCGGCCCGAGUGGUGUCCACUAUUAUUGGGUCUAAAGGGUCCGUAGCCGGUUUGGUCAGUCUUCCGGGAAAUCUGACAGCUUAACUGUUAGGCUUUCGGGGGAUACUGCCAGACUUGGGACCGGAAGAGGUAAGAGGUACUACGGGGGUAGGAGUGAAAUCUUGUAAUCCCCGUGGGACCACCAGUGGCGAAGGCGUCUUACCAGAACGGGUCCGACGGUGAGGGACGAAAGCUGGGGGCACGAACCGGAUUAGAUACCCUGGGUAGUCCCAGCCUUAAACUAUGCUCGCUAGGUGUCAGGGACGGUGCGACCGUUGUCGGUGCCGUAGGGAAGCCGUGAAGCGAGCCACCUGGGAAGUACGGCCGCAAGGCUGAAACUUA